rnacentral:rRNA from 1 species
GACGAACGCUGGCGGCGUGCUUAACACAUGCAAGUCGAACGAAGAGCGAUGGAAGCUUGCUUCUAUCAAUCUUAGUGGCGAACGGGUGAGUAACGCGUAAUCAACCUGCCCUUCAGAGGGGGCAACAAGUGGGAACGGCUGCCAAUAACGCAAUCGGUCUAAACUCGGGAUCGGAGGGAGAUUAAAGGUGGCCUCUACAAGUAAGCUAUCAAUGAAGGGGGGGGUUGCGUCUGAUUAGCUAGUUGGAGGGGUAACGGCCCACCAAGGCGAUGAUCAGUAGCCGGUCUGAGAGGAUGAACGGCCACAUUGGGACUGAGACACGGCCCAGACUCCUACGGGAGGCAGCAGUGGGGAAUCUUCCGCAAUGGACGAAAGUCUGACGGAGCAACGCCGCGUGAGUGAUGACGGCCUUCGGGCUGUAAAGCUCUGUUAAUCGGGACGAAAGGCCUUCUUGCGAAUAGUGAGAAGGAUUGACGGUACCGGAAUAGAAAGCCACGGCUAACUACGUG